rnacentral:lncRNA from 10 species
UUGCAAUUGCCAUGGAUUCCAAAUAUCAUAACAAAAGUAAAGAAAUAAAGAAACAGACCAAUCACCAAGAAGAACAAAAAGCUCAGGACGAGGUGGCAGAAGUUAUUACUGGGAGCACAGUGCAGAGGACAAGAACUUUGCAACUGAACAGACCGGAGUUUGAAUCCUGCCUUUGUUUCUCAGUAACCAUGUGACCCGGGGACCCUCUAACUGCUCCAAACCCUCCCCGGGAGACCAGUUGGAAAGUAGCCAUAUCUUAACUCUUCUAUGUGACUCUUCAAAAGUAAGGGUGAUUUUAAAGGACAUUUCUGCUGACAGAUUCUCAUUUGUUUCAAUAAACCUAAAAAAAAAAAAAAAAACCUUCAUCUACAGAAACCAAAGGUAUCACUACUGUCAACCUCUCACAUCAUAUCCACAGUUACUGUCUUGAAAAACAAAAGGAAAAGUGUUCCUUCAAAGUCUCCAAUAACCAGAGAAGAUGAUGUCUCUGAAGGCUGGCAAGUCCCGGAUGACAUGGUCUGAAAACAGAGACACUCUGCUGGCGGCAGCAACUGGAGAGGGGCCAACACGAAGCUGUUAACAAAGGGGAGUUAGGAUAACACGCAGCUUCGCAGCUUGAUGACUGUUUCCAAGUGCAUGGCUCGGACAAGGGUCUGACAGCAAAACCAGGCAUAAUUCAGUGUUGGAGUUUUGUUGUUUUGUUUGAGAAGUUGACUUCAUUAAAAAAUAAUAAUAUAAAGAAAAAGAAAGAAAAAAAAGAAAAGAAAACGAGAUAGAAACCAGAGACACCAAAAUGAUUAUUGCUUUGGGGAUAUUUUCAGAAUUUGCCCAGAAACAGUAAAGAUAAUGCAGGGCACAGUCAAUAGACAUUUGUUCUGGUGGUGUUCACAGCUUUGUCUCCUUGGCAUCAUGGACAACAUGGCAGAGCCAAAAGAAUUUCCUUUCCCUGAUCACAAACUCCAAAGCCAUUGGUCUACUGCUGUUGUAGCAUGUGGCCCAACAUUUAUGGCCUGGUUCAGCUGUGUGCUUAGUCAAGCACAGCCUUACAGGUGGUUAAGGCAAAGCCAAGGAAUGGAAGGAGGUCAGUUAUUUACUGAGCAUCUUCUGUGACUUGGUAUUGUUUGGGGCUUCAUUCCUUCAGUCAUCAUGGAACCAAAAUGAUUGGAUUUCCUCAGCUUCAAGGUGUAUACCCUGGUACCCUAAAUUAUAAAGAGCAGAUGGCUUUCAAGCCUGGACAACUGCUGGCCCAAAGGCUAGUUCCUACAAAAACCAAUGCCAGACUUCUGUUACAGCCAUCAUUUCUAGAGUGCACCUGAACUUGGUAGACCGGGCAUAUUGUCACUCACUAAGUAAGAAGAAAUAAUCUUUUUGGGAUUCACUUAGUAAAAAACAGAAAGAAAAAAAGAUGGAUACAGAAAGUCAAAAUUCAAACAUAUUUUGUGGGACUUGGUUUUAAAAUUUACAGGAAAAUGCAAAGAGUUAAGAAUAGCCGAUACGCUCUUGAAUGAAAAGGAAAAAUAAGAAAAGGUAGGAUGACUUGCCUAGACAGAUAUAAAAUAUCAAAUCACAUCUAAAGUUACAAUGAUUAAAACAAUGUGGUACUGGCACAAAGAUGUACUAUUGUAUUGAUGGAAUAAGAAACAAAGCCUUAAAACAGACCCAUGCAUAAACUGAUACUGAAUUAUGCCAAAGAUGGCACUGCCAAGCAGUGGGACAUAGAUGAUGUUGACAUCCCUAACUCACACCACACAUUAAAAUUACCUCCAAAUGAACCACAGAUCUAAACAAACCUGAAAGGCAAAACAACAAACUUCCUAGAAGAUAACAUAGGAGAUUAUAUGUAACUUCACGACCUGAGUCAAGAGAAUACAGUAUUUCUUAAACAAAACACAAAAAGGUUCUCACCAUAAAGGAAAAAUAAUGUUUAACUGCCACAAAAAUGAAAACUUCUGCUUAUCAGACAGUAUUAUUAAAUGAGUAAAAAGCUAUAAUACAAGUAGAAGAAAGGCUCAUAUGCAGAAUAUUUUUUAAAAACUCUUAUGAAACAAUAAAAAAUGAUGGACAAUCCAAUAGAAAAAUGAGCCAAAGACUUUAAAAGACACAUCACAUAAGAAGAAAUCCAAAUGAUCUAUACACAUGGGAAGAGGUUCUCAUCAUUAGGAGUCAGAAAAAUAAAAAUUAUAAGCAGUAAGUGAUGAUUACACAAUUCUGUGGAUAUGAUAAAAACUAACAUGCUAAAGAGUUGUACAUUUUAAAUGCGUGAAUUGUAUGGCAUGGAAACAGUAUCUUAUUAAAGCUAUUAUUUUUAAAAAACACAAGCAAAAGUAGUGUACACCUACCUACUCAAAUGAAUAAAAUUUAAAGAUUGCGUCAGUUAGAAUGUGGAGCAAUUAAAACUCUUAACCACUCCUGAUGGGAGUGUAAAUUGGCACAACCACUUUGGAAAAUAAUUUGGCAUAAUUCAUUAAAGUAGAAAAUAGAGAUACUUUAUGUAUGAUCUAACAAGUAAAUUCUGAGGUAUCAACCCAACCAAAUGCACAUAUAUGUUCACCAGGAAACAUGUAAAAGAAUGUUUACAGCAAUAUUAUUCAUGAAUGCCAAAAACUAGAAAAAUGUAAAUGUCCAUCAUCACUAGAAUGGAUACAAAUCUUAAACUACAGUAUAGUCACACAGUAAAAUCCCACACAACAAAGAACAUGAAUAAACUUCAGCUAGAAGCAACAAUAUAAAUGAAUCUUCAAAACUGUUGAGCAAAAUAAGCAGCUAAACUCUGUUUGAAGAUGCCAUCUUAAGUGGUAAAACUAUAUGGGUAAGCAAUGAAGGAUUAUCUAAAAGUCAAGAUAUUGCUUACACUUAGAAGGCACAGAGGUGAUUCUGAAGUAGCACUUUGGCAAUACUGUAUUCUAUUUCUUGAUCUAAGUGGUGAUUACAUGAGGUUAACUUUGUGACAAUUUAUUGAGCAAUAGGCAUAUUUUAUGCAUUUUACUGGCAAAACAACUUUUUUUUUUUUUUUUUGAGAAGGAGUCUCACUCUGUCGCCCAGGCUGGAGUGCAAUGGCACAGUCUCGGCAGCAAUUCUCCUGCCUCAGCCUCCUGAAUAGCUGUGAUUACAGGCGCACACCACCAUAACUGGCUAACUUUUGUAUUUUUAUUAGAGACAGGGUUUCACCAUGUUGGUCAGGCUGGUCUCAAACUCCUGACCUCAUGAUCCGCCUGCCUCGGCUUGGCCUACAGAAGUGCUGGGAUUACAGGCGUGAGCCACUGUGCCCGGCCCUUAUUUUUUUUUUUUUUUUAAGUCAUGAAUGAAGUUGGUCAGUUGCCCAGCAUUGCAGCCAUUAAGCAAUUCACCCUUGUUUUUCACUGUGGCUAAAAUCCAGACACCAAUGUCCUGGCUGGCUGGGUGGAUGGCACCCCCCAAGCCUCAUCACUGAUAAGCCAUGUGACUUGUCCACUGCCCUGCCCUCAGGACAAGUGUAACAAUUCACCUAGGGCUUACAAGCAUCUCUAGGCAAAGGAAUGGAGUAUCCUGACUACAGGGUUAUAACUCAGUCCGUGUUACAGACUAUAUAAUUGUGUCUCCCCAAAAUUUAUGUUAAAACCCCAACCCCCAGUGGGAUGGUUUCAGAGGUGGGGCUUUUGAGAGUUAAAUGAGGUCAUGAGGGUGGGGCCCCCAUGAUAGGAUUAGCGUCCCUGUGAGAAGAGAAACAGGUUAGAGCUCCCUCUCCCAUCUUCCCUCUCGACAUACAUACAUGCACCAAGAAAGGCCAUAUGAGGACAUAACAAAGAGCGCCCUUCCCAAGAACUCAGCCAUGCUGGCAUCCUGAUCUUGGACGUCCAGCUUCUAGAACGGUAAGGAAUGGGUAUUUGUUGUUGAUGUCACUUGGUCCAUAGUAUUCUGUUAUGGCAGCCCAAACUGAGUGACAGUCCAUGUAAGGCCACACCCAAAGGGCCUGGACUUGUGAUUCACUCACAGCCAGGCCCAGACAGGAUGAGUUCUGACCCCACAGGAUCCAGCCACACCCUGGCCUGGAGGCAGAGGUCAGCUUUGGUCCUGGCGCUCAAAGUGAGUUUCUUCUAGAGGGUUUCCUUGCUCCCCUACUUUCACAAUCCAGCCUUGAUCAUUGCUCCCUCCAACCGUCAAACAAAGGAAAGGGUCUGAACCCUAGUGCCUUUCCCUAAGAAGCCUCUGCUCCCAUGCAAAUGUAAAUAGCUAUGCAGGCACCGAGGAUAUUCCCAUCUUUGUCUAGCAGCAUUUGAGCUCCGGUUUUCUAUAGUCUGAGCAUCUGUCUCAGCAACGGUCCUUUUAUGAUCAUGAUAAAUUCACGAUAGGUACUAUUAUUUUCAUUGUACACGUGAAGGACAACUUCAGUCUACAGUCAUACCACCCUCAACGCUCCCAAUCUCGUCUGAAGGACAACAUCAGAGAAACAAAGCAACUUGCCCAAGAGUAUACAGCUAAAGAAUAGUAAUAAUAUAAUUUCUGUUAUUAUCUAUUGAGUACUUGCUAUGUAUCAGGCACUGUUUUAAAUACUUUGCAAGUAUUCAUUUUAUAAUUCUUCCCACAAUCCUAGGAGACAAGUACUUCUAUUAUUCCCAUUUCACAAUUAAGAAAACUGAGGCACAGAGAAACUGUCAUUUUCUCAAGAUCAUAAUAAUUAAUGAAUGAAGGAGUCAAGAAAUGAACCAAGGUUGCUUAACCACAAACUUUAGCCAGCAGUUCCCCAGAAUUAAAGUGUAGGUUAUAAGGUUUUGAAGUUUGAAAUCUCCAGAUGUACCAAAAGCAGGUCACUACCAGUGAGUGAAACACGAAGAGGGUAUCCUACAUGCUGCCUGAAGGCGUGGCUCUCUGUGGUUGCCUCUCAGCCUGCAGGACUCAGCUCCCACUCCAGCCCUGCCUCGUCAUCGUGGCAGGAGUUCUCCAGCAGUGGACACGUGAUAGAAGAACAAGAUUAUUUGACCAAUUAUCUUCUCUCCUUUACACUACUCUAGCUAACAUAUUCCCUUUUUAGUAGGUAGACUUGUUGAACUAUAUACCUAACAAUAAAAGAAAAAGUUU